rnacentral:rRNA from 1 species
CGCGUAGGCGGUGAUAUGAGUGUGAUGUGAAAGCCCCGGGCUUAACCUGGGAAGUGCAUCGCAAACGAUAUGACUAGAGUAUAUGAGAGGGUGGCGGAAUUUCCGGUGUAGCGGUGAAAUGCGUAGAGAUCGGAAGGAACGUCAAUGGCGAAGGCAGCCACCUGGCAUAAUACUGACGCUGAGGCGCGAAAGCGUGGGGAGCGAACAGGAUUAGAUACCCUGGUAGUCCACGCUGUAAACGAUGAGAACUAAAUGUUGGUUGGGGAACCAAUCGGUAUUGAAGCUAACGCGAUAAGUUCUCCGCCUGGGAAGUACGGCCGCAAGGUUGAA